UUGGAGGGCAAGUCUGGUGCCAGCAGCCGCGGUAAUUCCAGCUCCAAUAGCGUAUAUUAAAGUUGUUGCAGUUAAAAAGCUCGUAGUUGAAUUUCGGGAUCAAUUUAUCGGUCGUGCCUAUGGUAUGAACUGGUACAAUUGGUUUCUCCCUUCUGACGAAGCAUGAUGUCAUUAAUUUGGUGUCGUGGGGAAUCAAGACUGUUACUUUGAAAAAAUUAGAGUGUUUAAAGCAAGCAUUAGCUUGAAUACAUUAGCAUGGAAUAAUGAAAUAGGACGUUUGACCCUAUUUUGUUGGUUUCUAGGAUCGACGUAAUGAUUAAUAGGGAUAGUUGGGGGCAUUAGUAUUCAAUUGUCAGAGGUGAAAUUCUUGGAUUUAUUGAAGACUAACUACUGCGAAAGCAUUUGCCAAGGAUGUUUUCAUUAAUCAAGGACGAAAGUUAGGGGAUCGAAGACGAUCAGAUACCGUCGUAGUCUUAACCAUAAACUAUGCCGACUAGGGAUCGGAUGAUGUUAAUUUUUUAAUGACUCAUUCGGCGCCUUACGGGAAAC
rnacentral:rRNA from 1 species